CUGUACCAGUGGUGCAGGACAGGGGGUUCUGGAGUAGCUGUAGUAGCACUGUGUUCGAUAGGAAGACUACAAAAAUGAAGUCAAGGAAUUUGGUUGUGAAACACGCAGAUUUAGAGUAUAACCAUUGCUUUGAAAAACAGACAAGUCUUAAGGCAGCUGAGUAUAAAUUGAAUGUGAGCAAAUCUACCUGGACUGGCUGUUGCAAGUUAGAGGCAUCCCUAAGGCAGAGCCUACACGAAGUACAAAUUGCAGCACCCAAAGACUGGGCCAGUGUCCUUCUUCAGCGACUUCAGUGUUAUUGAGAUAGCAGGCAAGCAACUAUUAACUUGUCUAAUGAUUAGGAAAGCUAUAAAUAUAAAAAUAACCUCUGUCACUGAUAUAUUUAGAAGUAUUUAUCCUAAAUUGGAAGAACUGGAAAGUAUAUGUUGACUGCCUUGAAUAACAUUUGACAAUAUAUUUACAUUUCCCUUUCACACAAUUUAAUUUCAAAGUAAUGGGUAAGAAAUAGCAGCAAGGCUCAUCUUGUGACAAGACAGAUUUCUGGCCAUAUGUACACCAUCACUCAUAGACAUCCAAAGGGGCUUUGCUAGAGUUAAUCUGACAAGGAAAUACAAGAGCCCAGCAUGCACAGAGAAAGCCGUUCAGAUCUGGAAACGUGUAUCUGCACCAGCAUGGCACUGCCCUGAGCUAACAUCCUCUGCAAACACAUCUGAACUGCCCUGAGCCUUGAACUGCUGUGUCUGCACUGCCUUGGGGUACGGUUUGGGGACUUGCUAGCUUAGGUUUGCUGUGACUCAGGUGCUCCGUUACGUGGCAGGAACCUGGCCUUCAUGUCUAAGCGCAAGCCUACAGAGAAAUUUCAGACGUGAGGCUCCCUUCUUCUUUUCUUCAGCACUCUAAUUCUCUUUAAUAAUACAUAUAUUUCAAACAGACUUAAUUGCUCUGGUACCAAACUAUACAAAUUUUAACAUAUUCUCUAAGUCAUUUUUUGACACAGACAUUUGUCACCACUCUAAUGUCUGGAUACACAAAUGCCUGAUGAUGUCACAUUCACUAUCAAUUCAUUUAAAUAUUUUUAUAUCUAUAUUCAUAGAAAUAUGUGUAUAAGUAGUUUAAGUAAUCUUUCUCUGCCACAACCAGUGUUCUGCUAAGUGUUGUUAACUGAUUCAGCACUAUUUCCAGGAUAUUUUAAAAUUCCUUACUUUGUGCAGCAGACUUAACUGAUGUGGUCCAUUUAUUCCCCCU
rnacentral:lncRNA from 1 species